UCCGAGUUGACCCCGGCAGUCUCUCACGAGUCCCCACCAUGACGUGCUGGCAACAUGAGACAAGGGUUGCGCUCGUUGCGGGACUUAACCCAACAUCUCACGACACGAGCUGACGACAGCCAUGCAGCACCUGUGUCGGCUCCCCUUGCGGAAUCGGGCCCCUUUCGGUUUCCUACCACCGACAUGUCAAACCCAGGUAAGGUUUUUCGCGUUGCGUCGAAUUGAACCACAUGCUCCACCGCUUGUGCGGGUCCCCGUCAAUUCCUUUGAGUUUUAGCCUUGCGGCCGUACUCCCCAGGCGGAGUGCUUAGCGCGUUAGCUACGGCACUGGAGGGGUCAAUACCCCCAACGCCUAGCACUCAUCGUUUACGGCGUGGACUAC
rnacentral:misc_RNA from 1 species